rnacentral:rRNA from 1 species
AGUGAACGCUGGCGGUAGGCCUAACACAUGCAAGUCGAACGGCAGCACAGUAAGAGCUUGCUCUUACGGGUGGCGAGUGGCGGACGGGUGAGGAAUACAUCGGAAUCUACUUUUUCGUGGGGGAUAACGUAGGGAAACUUACGCUAAUACCGCAUACGACCUACGGGUGAAAGCAGGGGAUCUUCGGACCUUGCGCGAUUGAAUGAGCCGAUGUCGGAUUAGCUAGUUGGCGGGGUAAAGGCCCACCAAGGCGACGAUCCGUAGCUGGUCUGAGAGGAUGAUCAGCCACACUGGAACUGAGACACGGUCCAGACUCCUACGGGAGGCAGCAGUGGGGAAUAUUGGACAAUGGGCGCAAGCCUGAUCCAGCCAUACCGCGUGGGUGAAGAAGGCCUUCGGGUUGUAAAACCCUUUUGUUGGGAAAGAAAAGCAGCAGGUUAAUACCCCGCUGUUCUGACGGUACCCAAAGAAUAAGCACCGGCUAACUUCGU